CCGGGCAGAGUCCGCCGUGGGCGCGGCGCUCACGGUGGGCGUGGCAUGGCCCGAGGCGGGGCGAAGCGAAGCGGGGCGGGGCGGGGCGG
rnacentral:miRNA from 1 species